GUCCACGCCGUAAACGAUGGGUACUAGGUGUCUGGGGGAGCGACCCCCUGGGUGCCGGCGCUAACGCAUGAAGUACCCCGCCUGGGGAGUACGGCCGCAAGGCUGAAACUCAAAGGAAUUGACGGGGGCCCCGCACAAGCGGUGGAGCAUGUGGUUUAAUUCGACGCAACGCGAAGAACCUUACCUAGGCUUGACAUGCAGGAGAAAGCUCGCAGAAACGUGAGCCCCUCUUCGGAGUUCCUGCACAGAUGCUGCAUGGCUGUCGU
rnacentral:rRNA from 1 species